CCUCUUCCUGACGCCGAGAUCAUCUCCAAAAUCUUGGCUGGACUCGAUCUGGAAUACAAUCCAGUUGUGUCUGCCUUGGCAGGUAGGGUUGAGCCAGUCUCGGUUCAAGAGAUGUAUAGCCAGCUCUUGAGCUUUGACGC
rfam:Hordeum vulgare subsp. vulgare, WGS project CAJW01000000 data, contig: morex_contig_130820